rnacentral:rRNA from 1 species
AGCGAACGCUGGCGGCAGGCCUAACACAUGCAAGUCGAACGAAGUCUUCGGACUUAGUGGCGGACGGGUGAGUAACACGUGGGAACGUACCUUUUGGUACGGAGCAACGUUUGGAAACGAACGCUAAUACCGUAUGGUCCCUCCGGGGUAAAGAUUUAUCGCCAAAAGAUUAGCCCGCACUAGAUUAGCUAGUUGGUAAGGUAAUGGCUUACCAAGGCGACGAUCUAUAGCUGUUCUGAGAGGAAGAUCAGCCACACUGGGACUGAGACACGGCCCAGACUCCUACGGGAGGCAGCAGUUAGGAAUAUUGGACAAUGGGCGCAAGCCUGAUCCAGCCAUGCCGCGUGAGUGAUGAAGGCCUUCGGGUUGUAAAGCUCUUUAGCCGACGAAUAUACUGACUGUAGUCGGAGAAUAAGCCCCGGCUAACUUCGUGCCAGCCGCCGCGGUAAGAC